CCUACGGGAGGCAGCAGUAGGGAAUCUUCCGCAAUGGACGAAAGUCUGACGGAGCAACGCCGCGUGAGUGAUGAAGGCUUUCGGGUCGUAAAACUCUGUUGUUAGGGAAGAACAAGUGCUAGUUGAAUAAGCUGGCACCUUGACGGUACCUAACCAGAAAGCCACGGCUAACUACGUGCCAGCAGCCGCGGUAAUACGUAGGUGGCAAGCGUUAUCCGGAAUUAUUGGGCGUAAAGCGCGCGCAGGUGGCUUCUUAAGUCUGAUGUGAAAGCCCACGGCUCAACCGUGGAGGGUCAUUGGAAACUGGGAGACUUGAGUGCAGAAGAGGAAAGUGGAAUUCCACGUGUAGCGGUGAAAUGCGUAGAGAUAUGGAGGAACACCAGUGGCGAAGGCGACUUUCUGGUCUGUAACUGACACUGAGGCGCGAAAGCGUGGGGAGCAAACAGGAUUAGAUACCCUGGUAGUCCACGCCGUAAACGAUGAGUGCUAAGUGUUAGAGGGUUUCCGCCCUUUAGUGCUGAAGUUAACGCAUUAAGCACUCCGCCUGGGGAGUACGGCCGCAAGGCUGAAACUCAAAGGAAUU
rnacentral:rRNA from 1 species